rnacentral:lncRNA from 1 species
AGGGCCUUAGCUGUUUACAUAUUGGAGAUAUCCAUAGCCUUAAUACUGUGGACGGCCUAAGCCGUUUACGUAUUGGAGAUGGUCAUAGCCUUGAUACUGUGGACGUCUUUAGCCAUUUACACGCUGGAGAUGGCCAUAGCCUUAAUGUUGUGGAUUGAAUAAUGUUUUGGCUGAGGCGGUGAUAUUUUUUAGCGACGGCCUCUAG